AUUGACCGCUGGCGGCAGGCCUAACACAUGCAAGUCGAACGAGUGGCGGACGGGUGAGUAAUGUCUGGGAAACUGCCCGAUGGAGGGGGAUAACUACUGGAAACGGUAGCUCAUACCGCAUACCAUCGGAUGUGCCCCGAUGGGAUUAGCUAGUAGGUGGGGUAACGGCUCACCUAGGCGACGGUCCCUAGCUGGUCUGAGAGGAUGACCAGCCACAAUGGAACUGAGACACGGUCCAGACUCCGACGGGAGGCAGCAGUGGGGAAUAGUGCACAAUGGGCGCAAGCCUGAUGCAGCCAGGCCGCGUGUAUGAAGAAGGCCUUCGGGUUGGAAAGUACUUUCAGCGAGGAUGCGUUACUCGCAGAAGAAGCACCGGCUAACUCCGUGCCAGCCGCCGCGGUAAUUC
rnacentral:rRNA from 1 species